GGCUGAGCCAAAGCCAGGGAGGGCUGUCUCCUCCUCUUCCCUAGCAGCUGCUGCUCACUCAGCUCUCAAACCAGGACCAGGGGACCAGGCAGAGCGACUCUGAGAAGCUCCUGAGAAGUGGAUUCGCUCCGGGCCACCACGAUGCCGGGGGCCUCCGGGGUCCUCCUUUUCCUGCUGCUCACUGGGGGCCUCGGGGACAGCCAGGAGCAGCGAUUCCCACAGCGUCGACAGCCACAGGCGCAUCAGCAAAGAGGUACCGUUGAGGCAGGAGCUUUUUGAUCCGCAUCCUUUCCAGGGGCGCGGCUCCUUACUUGUCCUUUCUUCCCAGAGUUGCUGGCUGGGACCGCUUUCUCGCUUUGCCCUCAGGGAGUGCGCUUUCGGAAAAGAGGGAGGAAGAGUGAAGCAAGUUCACGUUCAACUCCCUGAGAUUCGUGUAGAGGGAAUUACCUCCAGGGACGUGGAGCGCUCUUCAUUGUUCAUUUGUUUCUAAGCGGUCAUGCUAUCUCUCUGCUUUCUGUAAACUGAUUUAUGAACUCUUUCCAAGAGGCAAACUUUUCCAAUUGGGAAAAAAAAGAAAAGAAAAGAAAAAGAAAAUAAAGUUUCUCCAAAUCACAUUCCAUCCCUGCAGGGAAAGGUUUCCCCAAGAUGUAGUUCAUCUUGGAACUUUAUGGAGGGCAGCUGAUGCAUCUUUUUUUAAUUUUAAGCAAGUUUGUUUCCAGUUAUUUAAAUGGGAUUUGUAAAGUCGUCAAGUGUGUGGAUUUUUUUUUCUUCUUUCUUAGUAAUAUUUCCAGCCUCACCUUUUCCAUAAUCACGUUCCCUCUCUGAAGCCUGUUUUUGUUGUAGUGAAGCUUCUUUUCUUGCUUAAAUAUAGAGGAGACUUUUAAGUCCUGUGUAUUUUAAGACACAGCCACCAGAUAUACACUUCGGGGGCUUUGGAAAACAGUUAUAUUUAAUGUAACUUAAAUUAUUCUCAUGGGAGCAUCAAUGUUUAUAUGCAUAUCAUUUCUGAAACUCUUGGGAGACUUUGAAGUGUUAUUUUAUCAGGAAUUUUAAAAGAAGCACAUUGCAGCAUUUUAAAACAGAAUUUGUAACAUUAUUUCAGAAAACAUUGCUAUUGGAAACCUGAGUCAAAGUAAAAUGUUAUUUAAGAAACACAUAAGUUUUGUUUUAAAUAUCAAAAUAUUUAAGCUUUGGGAAGUUUGGAUAAGGCUGAAUUUGCUAAAGUUUUGAAAUAUAGUCAUCCCUUUUCUAAUUAAUUGGAAUGAAGCCAUGUCGCAUAGUUUUGAUGGUUGUUCUUGUUAUAAUCUAGACUUUUUAGGAGUACUGUUUUUUAAAGGAUUGAAAAAUAUAUCCUAAUCUUCUCGCUUUAAUAAUAACUCACUGUUUAUAUAUUUUAUAAAAUAAAAAUGACCUUGAGUUCACUAUAUAACUUUUUUUUUCUUUUAUUUUUUGCUUUUCCUUCCCUGAGAGGUUAAAUGGGGUCAUUGUGGCUUAAAUAACAAGAUUUUGAGACAGUGAUUUUAAGAAUAUCUUUAAUGGCUGCUUUAAGAAUACUAUUUUAAACUAUUAAUCUUUGUUUAAUUACAUGAUGUGUUUUAAUAAUACACGGUAUUUCAUUACUGUUAGGCAUCUGGCAGAGAGGAGAGGCUAGAACACCAAUCCUUCUGUCCACUUAGAACAGGACAGAAGCUUAAAACACGCAGAAUAGUGAGCAAGUGGGUUCCUGAGAAUUUUUCCCAGCACAUACACGUGCUCCUGCCUUUUCUGAGGUAAAAUUAACAGUCUAGGCAUAGCAAAGUGAAUGCAGAAAUGUUUAUAAUGCCAUAAUGUUGAGAGAUUAUUACGUAUUAUAUAAUAAGAAAUCUUGAGAAAAAUAACGAUGAUGUAAAAUCUACCAUAGACUACAGUAUUCUGUAUUAGAUAUAUUAUCAUUAUUAUAGGCUAUUUGCAAUAUAUUUGGAUGUCAGCUCUAGAAUAAAUCGUUGAAGUUCAUUCAUAAUAAAAGUACAUAUAGGGCUGGGGAUGUGGCUCAAGUGGUAGCGAGCUCGCCUGGUAUGCACAGGGCGCUGGGUUCGAUCCUCAGCACCACAUAAAAAUAAAGAUGUUGUGUCUGCAGAAAACUAAAAAAUAAAUAUUAAAAAAAU
rnacentral:lncRNA from 1 species